GUAUAGUAGUGCGUGUGCACAACAAUAAUUUCAUUACAUUCGAGUGGGUGUAAAAUCCUCUGCCGGCCGAAGCUAGCAGAGGCCAAAGGUUCACAGGGUAUUGGAUGAAAGUCGCCGACGUGCACUUGCCAAAGCCGAAGCCGGCCAGCACUGAAGGCAACCAUUCGCAAUCAUUAAUGAUCCUUCCGCAGGUUCACCUACGGAAA
rnacentral:misc_RNA from 1 species